rnacentral:rRNA from 1 species
UACAGAGGUGCUCAAGCGUUUGUUCGGAUUCAUUGGGGCGUAAAGGGUGCGUAGGCGGCGCGGUAAGUCGGGUGUGGAAACUCUCGGAGCUUAACUCCGAAACUGCAUUCGAUACUGCCGGUGCUUGAGGACUGGAGAGGAGACUGGAAUUUACGGUGUAGCGGUGAAAUGCGUAGAGAUCGUAAGGAAGACCAGUGGCGAAGGCGAGUUUCUGGACGGUAACUGGACGCUGGAGGCAACGAAGGCCAGGGGAGCAAACGGG